GACCAACCUUUAAAGACUGCUGCAUCUUUAGGACAUUCUAGUCCAACAUCGAGGUCACAAACUCUCUUUUCGAUAAGGACUCUUAAAGAGAAUUAUGCUGUUAUCCCUAUGGUAACUAAUUUCAUUAAUCAAAAUUUUUGGAUCAAAACCUGAAAGUUUUUUAAUAAUAAAGAAGCUUUAUUUGUUCCAUAGUCGCCCCAACCAAAAUCUGAAAUUGAUUAAUAUUUAAACUUAUAUUAUUGUUUUCAACUUAUUUCUUUAAAGCUCAAUAGGGUCUUCUUGUCUUUCAAUGAUAUCUAGGUUUCUUCACCUAAAAAUCAAGUUCUAAAAAAUUAUGUAGAGACAGCUUUGUUCACGUCAAACCAUUCAUACUAGCCCUCAAUUAUAGGGCAAAUGAUUAUGCUACCUUUGCACGGUCAGAGUACCGCGGCCGUUAAAAACUAUUCACUGGGCAGGUCCGACUC
rnacentral:rRNA from 1 species